AUGAACGCUAGCUACAGGCUUAACACAUGCAAGUCGAGGGGCAGCAUUUUAGUUUGCUUGCAAACUGAAGAUGGCGACCGGCGCACGGGUGAGUAACACGUAUCCAACCUGCCGAUAACUCCGGAAUAGCCUUUCGAAAGAAAGAUUAAUACCGGAUAGUAUACGAAUAUCGCAUGAUAUUUUUAUUAAAGAAUUUCGGUUAUCGAUGGGGAUGCGUUCCAUUAGUUUGUUGGCGGGGUAACGGCCCACCAAGACUACGAUGGAUAGGGGUUCUGAGAGGAAGGUCCCCCACAUUGGAACUGAGACACGGUCCAAACUCCUACGGGAGGCAGCAGUGAGGAAUAUUGGUCAAUGGGCGAGAGCCUGAACCAGCCAAGUAGCGUGAAGGAUGAAGGCUCUAUGGGUCGUAAACUUCUUUUAUAUGGGAAUAAAGUUUUCCACGUGUGGAAUUUGUAUGUACCAUAUGAAUAAGGAUCGGCUAACUCCGUGCCAGCAGCCGCGGUAAUACGGAGGAUCCGAGCGUUAUCCGGAUUUAUUGGGUUUAAAGGGAGCGUAGGUGGAUUGUUAAGUCAGUUGUGAAAGUUUGCGGCUCAACCGUAAAAUUGCAGUUGAAACUGGGAGUCUUGAGUACAGUAGAGGUGGGCGGAAUUCGUGGUGUAGCGGUGAAAUGCUUAGAUAUCACGAAGAACUCCGAUUGCGAAGGCAGCUCACUAGACUGUCACUGACACUGAUGCUCGAAAGUGUGGGUAUCAAACAGGAUUAGAUACCCUGGUAGUCCACACAGUAAACGAUGAAUACUCGCUGUUUGCGAUAUACAGUAAGCGGCCAAGCGAAAGCAUUAAGUAUUCCACCUGGGGAGUACGCCGGCAACGGUGAAACUCAAAGGAAUUGACGGGGGCCCGCACAAGCGGAGGAACAUGUGGUUUAAUUCGAUGAUACGCGAGGAACCUUACCCGGGCUUAAAUUGCAACAGAAUAUAUUGGAAACAGUAUAGCCGUAAGGCUGUUGUGAAGGUGCUGCAUGGUUGUCGUCAGCUCGUGCCGUGAGGUGUCGGCUUAAGUGCCAUAACGAGCGCAACCCUUAUCUUUAGUUACUAACAGGUCAUGCUGAGGACUCUAGAGAGACUGCCGUCGUAAGAUGUGAGGAAGGUGGGGAUGACGUCAAAUCAGCACGGCCCUUACGUCCGGGGCUACACACGUGUUACAAUGGGGGGUACAGAAGGCGGCUACCUGGUGACAGGAUGCUAAUCCCAAAAACCUCUCUCAGUUCGGAUCGAAGUCUGCAACCCGACUUCGUGAAGCUGGAUUCGCUAGUAAUCGCGCAUCAGCCAUGGCGCGGUGAAUACGUUCCCGGGCCUUGUACACACCGCCCGUCAAGCCAUGAAAGCCGGGGGUACCUGAAGUACGUAACCGCAAGGAGCGUCCUAGGGUAAAACUGGUAAUUGGGGCU
rnacentral:rRNA from 1 species